rnacentral:misc_RNA from 1 species
GUGAAUCAUCAAAUUUUUGAACGCAAAUUGCACUCUCUGGCAUUCCGGAGAGUAUGCCUGUUUGAGGGUCAGUUUAAAUAAAAGUCGAGGAGUUGCUGUUGUUUGACCCAUCGGAAGUGGGUUAUCUUUGACCUUUUAAAAGGUUUAAGGGGCCGGAAAUGGAGUCCUUGUGCAUCUCGGACGU